rnacentral:rRNA from 1 species
GGCGACCGGCGCACGGGUGAGUAACGCGUAUGCAACCUACCUAUCAGAGGGGAAUAACCUCGGCGAAAGUCGGACUAAUACCGCAUAAACAGGGGCACCGCAUGGUGAUAUUUGUUAAAGAAAUUCGCUGAUAGAUGGGCAUGCGUUCCAUUAGGUAGUUGGUGAGGUAACGGCUCACCAAGCCGACGAUGGAUAGGGGAACUGAGAGGUUGGUCCCCCACACUGGUACUGAGACACGGACCAGACUCCUACGGGAGGCAGCAGUGAGGAAUAUUGGUCAAUGGGCGGGAGCCUGAACCAGCCAAGUCGCGUGAAAGGAAGAAGGAUCUAUGGUUCGUAAACUUCUUUUGCAGGGGAAUAAAGUGCAGGACGUGUCCUGUUUUGUAUGUACCCUGAGAAUAAGGAUCGGCUAACUCCGUGCCAGCAGCCGC